rnacentral:rRNA from 1 species
UAAGAAUAUUCCGCAAUGGACGGAAGUCUGACGGAGCGACGCCGCGUGGAUGAAGAAGGCCGAAAGGUUGUAAAGUUCUUUUGCUGGGGAAGAAUAACCGCAGGAGGGAAUGCCUGUGGGAUGACAAGAAUCGGCGAAUAAGCCCCGGCCAACUACGUGCCAGCAGCCGCGGUAACACGUAGGGGGCGAGCGUUGUUCGGAAUUACUGGGCGUAAAGGGCAUGUAGGCGGCUUGGAAAGCCUGGCGUGAAAGUCUGCAGCUUAACUGCAGGGGUGCGCUGGGAACUGCUGAGCUUGAGUGACGGAGAGGGAGCUGGAAUUCCUGGUGUAGGGGUGAAAUCUGUAGAUAUCAGGAAGAACACCGAUGGCGAAGGCAAGCUCCUGGCCGAUGACUGACGCUGAGGUGCGAAAGUGUGGGGAUCAAACA